CUAAGAAUAGGCCGAAAGGGACGAAAGUCUGACGGAGCGACGCCGCGUGGAUGAAGAAGGCCGCAAGGUUGUAAAAUCCUUUUGCUGGGGAAGAAUAAGCGCAGGAGGGAAUGCCUGCGUGAUGACAUGAACCGGCGAAUAAGCCCCGGCCAACUACGUGCCAGCAGCCGCGGUAACACGUAGGGGGCAAGCGUUGUUCGGAAUUACUGGGCGUAAAGGGCAUGUAGGCGGUUUAGUAAGCUUGGCGUGAAAGACCACGGCUUAACUGUGGGGUUGCGUUGAGAACUGCUGAACUUGAGUUACGGAGAGUGAGCUAGAAUCCCUGGUGGAGGGGUGGAAUCUGUAGAGAUCAGGAAGAAUACCGAUGGCGAAGGCAGGCUGCUGGCCGAUAACUGACGCUGAGGUGCGAAAGUGUGGCGAUCAAACA
rnacentral:rRNA from 1 species